rnacentral:ncRNA from 1 species
UGUAGCCGUGUGCGGCGAAAGUCGCACGCACGGUUGUGGCCGGGGGAAAGCCUGAAAGGGCUUACCUAUCGGAAU